rnacentral:rRNA from 1 species
UACGUAGGGGGGCAAGCGUUUGUCCGGAAUCAUUGGGCGUAAAGAGCGUGUAGGCGGCUCGGUAAGUCCGCUGUGAAAGUCCAGGGCUCAACCCUGGAAUGCCGGUGGAAACUGUCGAGCUAGAGUCCGGAAGAGGCGAGUGGAAUUCCUGGUGUAGCGGUGAAAUGCGCAGAUAUCAGGAGGAACACCAAUGGCGAAGGCAGCUCGCUGGGACGGUACUGACGCUGAGACGCGAAAGCGUGGGGGAGCAAACAGG